CAAAAAAAGCAAACAUAAAGAUGAGUUCAUCUUCAGUACCAUAUUGACAUACACUGAUAAUCAAUAGUAUCUAACUAUGGACACGUGGAAGCCUUUAAACACAGACAUUUUGACAUGAUUUUAUCACAAAGCUUGUUACCUGCCUUGAUGACCUCUUUUCUCUUUUUUAAUCAGAUAAUACCAAAACAACACAAUGGGUAUGUUAAAGCACAUCUGUGUGAAUAGAUUUAUUUUUAUCAAUUAACUGCAUCUUUAAAGACUAAAUCAGUAAAAAAUGCUAAAAGUGUUCUCUUCAAUUUAACCAGUGCCAACAUAGUUGUUUUGGUUUUGUCAGCGUGGAUGCUUGCCAGACCGGUAUCCUUAAUAUCCUUAAUCCUGUUAGGUCCCCGCCAGAUUGGUCAACAAACUGUUUGGACCGCCUUAUCACAGUGGGCUUGGACAGAUUCACACCUCAUUAUGAUCUUGUCAGGGUAUUUUCAGGAUGCCACAUGGAGAUUACUGUGAGUUGAUCAAAGCACCAAUACAGCGCACUUUUUUUUUCAGAGGAAAUCCAACUGCCAACGUGAAAACAGACCCACCCAUUUUAACACACACAUAAAGUGUCCAGUUAACAAAAGUCUAUAUACAUAGUUGGGCAAAAGGAGGAAGUCCAUCUCAGACAGACCCGCCGUAUCCUUAAGAAGGAAGUCAAAUAACAAGCCUGCAGGUCUUAACUGGGAAAAAGAUGGGAAACGAGCAGUCAGUAAACAUAGAAGAGCUAUCCAAGAAUGGGACAAUUCCUGAAAAGCAUGAGAAUGGAACCGUGAAUGGCAUCUCUAUAGAAGUCACGUCUGGCGGACUGGAGAUUAAUGGUAAAAGUGAAACUACAGUCUGCCAAAAUGGCAAGGCCCACUCUUUAAACUCUGCCAUACAAUCAACUGAUGUGAUCGGCAAAUCAGAGUGUCAACCUGAUAUUGUCCAAGAUGUUUCUGAAGCCCCUGACGCCAAAAUCCAAGCUGUUUCUGAAGCCCCUGACGCCAAAAUCCAAGCUGUUUCUGAAGUUCCUGACACCAACACCCAGAAGGAAGAGGUCAAGAAAAGCAAAGGAGAAAAAGGUCGUCAUCAUUUUGGCAAACUGUUCAAAAAGAAAUCAGAACCUAAAGCUGAAGCUGAGACUGUUGAAGAAAAAGAAAAAGAGACACAGAGGGAAGAUCAAACGGAUGUAAGUGUUCCUCCCACUGAGCCACAGCAGGAGACGGCUAACCUAAACCAAGAGCCUGAAUCAUUAAAGGAGCCAGAGAGGGUGACUCCAGUCUCCAGUCCCAAGGAAGAAAACGUUCCUGAAACUGACAACGGAGACAGUGAGGCCGUGGAAAGCAAAGAGGAGAGUAACCCCGAAGAGAAUCCAGUUAUGAACUUCUUCAAAACCCUAGUGACCCCUACUAAAACGUCCAAAAAGGAAACGGCUAUUCCCGAUGCCGCAAAAGUUAAGUCCCAGAAGGAGACCCAACCAGCGGCAACCACUACUGUUGCACAAAUAUCUGAACCGCCUGCAGCACCGAAAGGAAUGUCCGUCCCACCACCCCCACCUCCAGAGCCACCGAAAAUGGAAAUCAAAGGAGAGCCAACUGCCAAACCUGUAAAGGCCUCGGCGAAAGAAGAACCUAAAGCUGCUGAAAAGGAGCCUGUGUCCUCGAAAGGAAAAUCAGCCAAAGAUACUCUGAGCAAAUUAUUCCGCCAGAAGUUUGAGGUAUUGCUAGGAGUCAAGACCUCCAAAAGCAAUGGUGCUUCAGCAAGUGGAGCCAAAGCCCCGGGCAAGACUGCAGCAGUGGAGACACCAGUGGAGGUGCCAGCGCCUGUUGUAGAAGUGCAGAUUCAAAAUGAGGUUGAACCUCAGGAGGCAGCAGCAGUGGGGGAAGAGCCCGUUGUAGAAGUGCAGAUAAAGGAAGAGGUACCACAACCAGUGGUAGAAACUGAGAAGGUGGAUUCCUCAAAAGCUGACACCCGGGAGGCUGCUGCAAAACCAGAGCCACCACCACCUGCUCAGGAAGAGAAGAAAAGCGCCUCAAAAUCACCAUUCCUUUCUUUCUUCAAGCCCCAAGCUGCUGAGCCCAAGAAGGUGACCCCGACCCCACCUGCAGCAGCGGAGGCAGCUCAAGCAGUUAAAGCCAAGGAGGAACCUAAAGUGGCAGCCAAGUCUUCAGAGCAAGCUGCAGAUAACAAACCAGCCUCUGUGCCUUCCCAAGCUGGCGAUGAUGCAGCCAGUGUGCCCAAAAAACUGGAAAAGAGGAACUCCAUUCAGCUAUUCUUUAAAAAUCUGACUCAGAAACGUCCUUCUACAGACGCCGGAGUCCAGACAGAGCCACUGACCGCUGCUCAAGGAGCUGAGAAAGCCAAAUGAGACCAGAAGCAACCCUUACGUUUUCCUGUACAGUCUCCUUCCCUCCUUCUCACUUGUACUCAGUCCUUCUUUUUCUCUCUUAUCGCCUUCUUGAAUCCCCUGAGUUACUUUGACUACUUUGUUUUUUAAUUGUUACUGCUUAAAAGUCACGAUAUCAAAGGUAAGGUUUUGGAAGAGUAAAGGAAAGUGGACAGAACAGUUAGCAGGGAGUUGAACUUGUGGAGAUUUAAAAUGGUCAAAGGUUGUUUGGACAUAUUUUUUUGUCACAUAAAUGUCUUGUCAGCAAUGUGACAUUUUCUACAGACAUUUAAAAUGACUUUUCUCUGUUUUGCAAUCUAACAUACUGGGCUUAUGCAAUAUAUAGUGCCAUGCUUUGCCUUGAACAACUAUUUUGUGUUAAAUCAAUAAAACUCAAUGUCAUAUAGGUUCUAUUUUUACACUUCACACCAGAGAAUUCACACAGUUCAGGUAAUGCAGUGGUUAACAUGAAGUACGUAGAUAUGAGUCAUAGAAAUGCUCUUAAUGGAGCUGGUCUAAGGAGUAUUAAAGUUUAUAUAGCAGAGUGUGCUUACAGAUUUUUGAACUCUAUGCAAGUUAUAUGUGGACUAAAACAAAAAGCUAUCUUUUAGCUUUAAUGGGACAUCACAAUCUCUACUGAUCUUUGGGGAACUGAUUGUAAAUACUCAACAAAUGCUUAAAAAUGCAUCCGAGGUAUUGAAAUGGUGUCUUUGUGCAAAUGUCUCCUUGUGAUAAGCUCUGCAUUACUCAUAAAUCACAACCGAGAAGCUUUUAUUUUGAUUUUAGCACUUUGUCUCGUGUCAACUAACAAGUCUUCCGGUGUAAGUAAACUGUGUCAGGCGUAUGUGCAAUUAAUGUGACGCUUUAGUUUGUCGUUAUGUAGUGUGCAUGUGAAACUUGAGCUAUUCUGAAGACAAUAAAUGCAAAUAAAUAUACCACAUGUCUGUUUUGUUUCAGAGUUUUCAUUUUUAAUGUAAGCUAUAAAAGCAUGGGGAGUGUUAUCAAGAAUAAUUGGGUGUUCCAGCAAUUUUUAAAAAAAAAAGAUGACCAGGCAAGUUUGGCCAAAAAAAAUAAAAGAUGCCUCUAUUGCGUGAGCAGUGUCAUUGCAACCAUUUUUAUGCAUAUAUGAGUGCAGGAAAGGUGUGGCGUAUCACUCUACACCCAUUCCGGGUGUUGAGUCAAAUACUGUAAGUCUGACUCAUGUUCAUAAAGAUGUCUGACAAAUCAUAGGAAAAACCUGAUCCCUUGACCCCUUUGGUGAGAGGAUCUGGUGGUUGCAUGGCAACAUUUUUUGGGUCCACGUGUUCUCAUAUAGGGCAGAGUCAGUGCAAAUCAUUAUAAGAUUAUGGGGAGCCAUCUUAACCCUUUAUUAUGAUGAAAUGCUUCUGUUGGGAGUGGCCUCUUCCAAGAUGGCACCUCGAGCCACAAGUAUGUACAAGAAUUCAAAUCGCAUUCUGUGGCCUUCACAGUCAGCAGAUCAGUUUCCAUUUGAAAGAGUGGUCUAACAUGCUAGACAGCUGGCUAACGUGCUGCCAUGGUCAACAAAACAAGUUAGGGAGUGUUAUUUUUUGGAAAAGGUUUUCCUUUUUUGUUUGUUUUCCUUUAAUUUGUCACCCACUCGUAUAUAUUUGUAAUGCCAGCAAAUAAAUGUCAGUUACCUGGAGAAAAAGCAAAUUAACCAGAGUACAGC
rnacentral:lncRNA from 1 species